GAUGAAGAACGUAGCGAAAUGCGAUACUUGGUGUGAAUUGCAGAAUCCCGUGAACCAUCGAGUCUUUGAACGCAAGUUGCGCCCGAAGCCAUUAGGCCGAGGGCACGCCUGCCUGGGCGUCACACGUCGUUGCCCCCCCCCAUCUACUCCUUCGGGAUUGCGGGGGGCGGAUGAUGGCCUCCCGUGCGCCUCGCCGCGCGGUUGGCAUAAAUGCCAAGUCCUCGGCGACGCACGCCACGACAAUCGGUGGUUGCGAAACCUCGGUUGCCCGUCGUGUGCGGUCGUCGCGCAUCGAGGGCUCGAAAAAAUUGCCGAGUUCCGGCUCGGCUUUCAACGCGACCCCAGGUCAGGCGGGGUUACCCGCUGAAUUUAAGCAUAUCAAUAAGCGGAGGA
rnacentral:misc_RNA from 1 species